rnacentral:lncRNA from 1 species
CAACGAGCCGACCAAGAGCUUUGGCCACAAGGAUAGCAUCCUUGUUGGCCUGGGCCUUAUCCUGUUCCUCAGCUUCACGUGGAUUUAUUUCGUGCAUAGGUACGCGUAUGAAGUAUAUUGACUUUGCAGGAGCACUGCCGGCUUUGGACCGGAGCCGAGCUGUGGGCCCUAUUAAUUGCCAUGGGGAUGGCACACGUGCGAAGUGUGGCCCGCUUUUUUGUGCAUUGAGAUCCCUGAGUGCGCGGGGCUUGGGCUCUGGAAGGGGCCCUCGUCUUCUUUCCGGGUCUGAAAACCCAGAUAGGCCCUGGCUCUGACGGCAUCUAUGGCAACGCCAGUCAUCGCGGGUUCAGUGAACCAGUCCAUUACAUGCACACCGCCUCCGUUUGUCGCUUGUCGCUCUGUCGGCGCACAGGAUGUACCUUAACAUUGAGCCUUCAACGCCGGAUGGGGGCACGACUCGUCCGGCAGGCCUCUGAGAGCUGGCCUAUAGCCUGCCCGGCCGACAUCUGGGGAGGUUACACGUCUCGAUCCGUUAUCUAGCUUCAAAUGACUCGUCACAGCGCCGCUGCGGUAUAGCAGGAUGCCAUGUUGCAGGAGGGACAUGAAACUGGACCGUUCAGUUUAGGCCGCUGUGCUUCAGCAUCCGUUUGUACUUGCAGAGGAGUCAAGCGUACCAAAGUAUUACGCCAAUAGAGGUGACUGUAGGGCGGAUAUGCAGGUGAGAUACGUUUUGCGCCCAGCCUGCAUUGCAGAAGCGAUUGGCCGACUGGAGCGAUAUGCUUGAGGAUAUGGGACAGUCCUAUGCUGAACGUAGUUGUGUAAUGGCCUUCAGAGGUUGGCACGUGUUUUCCUCUCCCCAAGGACCGAGGAGGUCCCAAAUGCCAUGACUGGUUGACGAAUCUUUUAAGGAGAUUAUUUGAACUGACGCAAAUGAUGAAUCCCCUACCGAGGGUCCGGUCUUAUGCUGUCAUUCCGUUUGCGGUUGCGCAUUUGUGUUGCCGUUUAUGGGCCUCAUAAGGAUGGCAUCUGGAAGGCGGGAGGAUGCAGGAUCGUAGCGCGUCACAAGUCCAAGCCCCCCAUUGUCAACUGAAAAAUACUGUUUCGUCAGCAACAACCCACAUGGGUAACUGCAUAGUACAAUAACGACCCCAGGAUUUAUCGUUUCUCUCGUUCCUAUCGCACGCGCCAGCCUGCAGGCAAGCAUCCUCGCCGCCAACUUCCGGUCGCAGACGGACCAGGAGACCUGAAACACCAUCCCCACCCCAAUGUGCAGUUUAAGCCGACUAGGUACGGUACAAGCAAGGACGGGCGGCAACAGAAUGGUGAAACACCACCCCAUUAACAGCGAGCUGCUAGUAUGGAAUGUCGGAGCGCGCUGCUAUUUGGCGCCUUCAACGUUCUACGGAAACACAGGCAUCGCCAUUGUGACAUGCCUUGCAGUGCACUAAAUUUUUAUGUACGACCCAGCCCUCGCGCUGCGCCAACCGAAAGUUGCUAUUUGUCCAAAACUGUUUUUCGUCGAAUCAUCCCGCGGUCUCGUGUGCCGGCCAGGCUGCGCGCCCGGUACAGGUGCCUCGGAACAUAACGACACGACUACCUGAUUUCAGCCUGCAGCACAUGGCCACCAGCGUACACACAUAUCCAACAAACAAAUGCCUAAACUAAGCACACUGUGCAUGCAGAGCAAAACCCCACGCCAUGAGGAAAAAACAGGACGACAGGCCACAACCAGGACAUAGCUUGGACAGGAAAAUGGAUGCGCCUUCGCUAGCCAAUCAAGAACGGCCGCGAACCAGUAUGGCAGCUCCGAACGUCAAAACAAGCAACAACGCAGUAGUUGGAAACAGUAGUCGGAAACCGACGUAGCGAGACAGCACCGGCAACAACAGCACGGCUUUCGCUAGACGCAGCUGCAGCCGGAUGACUUUCGUAGCCCAGCUCUCCUUACCGCAUUCCGUGGGGCCUGCUAUUACCUUUUACAUCGAAACGGGCCCCGCCACCAAUCGAUUUGAGCCCUGCCCAGGUCCCGACGGCUACCCAAAUAUUUUGCAAGCAGGGCCCCUAUACCUCCGGUUGGGUUCAACAAAGCUUCAUUCCAUUCGUCA